rnacentral:rRNA from 1 species
GACGAACGCUGGCGGCGUGCCUAACACAUGCAAGUCGAACGAGAAUCUUUGAACAGAUCUUUUCGGAGUGACGUUCAAAGAGGAAAGUGGCGGACGGGCGAGUAACGCGUGAGUAACCUGCCCAUAAGAGGGGGAUAAUCCAUGGAAACGUGGACUAAUACCGCAUAUUGUAGUUAAGUUGCAUGACUUGAUUAUGAAAGAUUUAUCGCUUAUGGAUGGACUCGCGUCAGAUUAGAUAGUUGGUGAGGUAACGGCUCACCAAGUCAACGAUCUGUAGCCGAACUGAGAGGUUGAUCGGCCGCAUUGGGACUGAGACACGGCCCAGACUCCUACGGGAGGCAGCAGUGGGGAAUAUUGCGCAAUGGGGGCAACCCUGACGCAGCAACGCCGCGUGCAGGAAGAAGGUCUUCGGAUUGUAAACUGUUGUCGCAAGGGAAGAAGACAGUGACGGUACCUUGUGAGAAAGUCACGGCU